GCCAAGGGAUAGCUCAGGUGGUAGAGCAUGAGACUUUUAAUCUUAGGGUUGUGGGUUCGAGCCCCACGUUGGGCA